UAAAGUUUGUUCUUAAAAGUCAGUUCAAUUGAAGGUUUGAUUUAAAAGUUUUUAAAAAUAAAAAAAAUUUAAUAAGGCGCCCUAGAUUUCUUUUCAAGGAUUAAGGACCUAAUAUACGGCAGUAGAGUUACUACUACUUAUUCAAUAAGUGGAAUGGAUUUCUUAAAAUUCAUAAAGUACUAUCGCUUUCUUGUUAUCAUUACGUUUCCUGUCUUCUUCUGGUGUUAUUUGUAUAUGAUGUAUUAUGAGAUAAUAGCUAUUGCUGUAGUCCGUAUGGAUGCAUAUGCCUAUAUUGAACUUAUUAAAUACUUCCUGGCCAUAUCAGUUGCAUUAGUUGCCUACAGUAUAUGGAGUAAAUUACUUAAGAAAGUUAUGGAGGAGGAGAAUAUCCCUACUCUUAAAAUAGGCUAGCAGCAGCAACCAAUUAUUUAAGACAUUUUUUGGCUUAACUCUGCAAAGCUUUAAAUAUCUUUGCAGUUAAAAUUCUGAAAUAGCAAAAAAAAAAACAGGCCAAAAAAUGCAAAUAACUUAUAAAAUCUCGGAUACUUUUAAUGCUAUAACUCUUUUACUCUUAACUCUUACUACUCUUAUAACUCGCUGUAAUUGUUGAAGUUAGAAGAAGAAGAAGACGGAUACAAUGUAAAUAUUUUAAAGGAAUUUUAUUUUUGGAAUUCUGGAGAGAUUUUU